CGGGGAUUGGCGCAAUUGGCUAGCGCGCGCGCAUGGGGUGCGCGAGGUUGCAGGUUCGAAUCCUGUAUUCCCGA
rnacentral:tRNA from 1 species